GACGAACGCUGGCGGCGUGCUUAACACAUGCAAGUCGAGCGGAAAGGCCCGGCGUUUGUGGGGUACUCGAGUGGCGAACGGGUGAGUGACACGUGAGUAACCUGCCCUUGACUUUGUGGGAACUUCAGGGGACUGGGGCGAAUACCGGGGAGGAUCUCCUGCUGCAUGUGGUUGGUUGGAAAGUGUCGGCGGUUGUGGAUGGACUCGAGGCUUAUCAGCUGGUUGGCGGGGUAGGGGCUGACCAGGGCUUUGACGGGUAGCCGGCCUGAGAGGGUGACCGGCCACAUUGGCCCUCAGAUAGGGCCAGGAGUCAUACGGCAGGAAGGAGCGGAGACCAUUGGACACUGCGCGGCAGCAGGAUGCAGCAACGUCGCGUCGGGGAUGACGGUCUUCGGGUUGUAAACAGCUUUCGCGUGUCACGAAGCGUGUGUGCCGGUACUGGUCAAAGAAGCACCGGCUACCUACGU
rnacentral:rRNA from 1 species